rnacentral:rRNA from 1 species
GAUGAACGCUGGCGGCGUGCCUAAUACAUGCAAGUCGAGCGAACGGACGAGAAGCUUGCUUCUCUGAUGUUAGCGGCGGACGGGUGAGUAACACGUGGAUAACCUACCUAUAAGACUGGGAUAACUUCGGGAAACCGGAGCUAAUACCGGAUAAUAUUUUGAACCGCAUGGUUCAAAAGUGAAAGACGGUCUUGCUGUCACUUAUAGAUGGAUCCGCGCUGCAUUAGCUAGUUGGUAAGGUAACGGCUUACCAAGGCAACGAUGCAUAGCCGACCUGAGAGGGUCAUCGGCCACACUGGAACUGAGACACGGUCCAGACUCCUACGGGAGGCAGCAGUAGGGAAUCUUCCGCAAUGGGCGAAAGCCUGACGGAGCAACGCCGCGUGAGUGAUGAAGGUCUUCGGCUCGUAAAACUCUGUUAUUAGGGAAGAACAUAUGUGUAAGUAACUGUGCACAUCUUGACGGUACCUAAUCAGAAAGCCACGGCUAACUACGUG